GCAGAGGUCCGAGGCCCAACUGAAAGAGCCCAAACGCUAGCCUCAUUCACCCUACGGGAUCACACCAGAUCGUCAACCGCCCUCAUCCCCUCUCUCCUCACGCCAAUCCAAACCCUAGCCAUCGCCGCCAUCGCCGAGUACCAGGCCUCCGGGGAACGCCUCAUCGGCCUGCAUGUCGAUCCACACCGCCCUGCUCUGUGCGUCACCCUCCCCACGGAGGCGAAGGCGCCCUGCGCCGGAGAUCGCGGGAUGGUUCCACGCGGCUCCUAGGCUACCAGCUGGCCAUACGGAUCUUGCCAAGAUCGCUUCCUCACUCCUCUUCCCUGAAGGCGACAACGACUGUGGAGGAGGCAGCGGGGGUCAGCGAAGAGGUGGUCGCGUUCACGCGGGGCGCAGCCUCGCGGCCCGAGUUAUGUCUCAUCUUCCCCCCUCCCCGACGACGCGGACUCCCAUGGUUUGUGGCUUCGUGAUUCAUCAUAUUGGAACCCCUCGCCGCCUUCCCAGCCAGCGCCAGCACCCCCACCCAGCGACCCCGCCGUCGCCGGUGACCAGCCCCAACCCCAUCACAAGGCCGGCGACAAGGAAGCGGAUGUUGCCACCGCCGAAACUGAUGGGUACAAGGCGGGGUCGUCCUCAUCGCACCUGUCUCAACUGCUCCGGGAGGUAGGCAUCGACGACUCCUGGCUGCUUGUGCUGCUGUUACUUGCAGGCAGGCUCUGAAUGUUGCCAAUAGGCUCUGAAUGCUGCUGCUACAUAGCCAAGCUUGUCAGCAUUGCGACCCUUGGUGGAUGAAUAGGGUCUGCAAUAGGUGAAUGUUCUUGUUUUUCAUCUUCAGAUGAUGCAUGUUCCAUUGGACGUAUCAGUAUAGUUGCAACCAAGGAUUUGUUCAUUUUCUUUUCCCCUUUUGACUGUGUCAGGGAAAUUGGAAUUAAGGGCUUCAGACAUUUUUUAAGUGCAUUGUACUUUUUUUCAUGGCCUACUCUUUGUGAAUUAUCAUGUCAAUCAUGGGCAUUGGUAAUAUCUUGCCCGUCAGGUGGCGUUAACACAUUGUGUUGAUGAACCUAAAGACGUACGGAGUGCUCGAAAGGGUGUUGUAAACAUGUUCUGAGAUGUGGCUAUGAUAAUCUAAAGUUAUCUCCUAUAUUGCAGUUAUCCAGAACCGCGUCGCCCCUCCAUUCAUCCUUGACAACGCUGCCUGUGUUGCUUUACGUGUUCAGGGCUUCAGCAAUCCAGGUGCCACCAGUGUGGGCGCGACCCAUCAUGAGUCGAUGCUGGCGAGCCAGCCAUAGCGCGACAUCUGAUGCUUCUGCUUCCUUACAUGAACAUGCAUCAAUAAGUCAGCCAUCUAGCCCUACUUACUGUAACCAGCAUGCAUGAUCCACCUCUGUAAUUUUUAUUUCCUAAAUAUGUGUUUUUAUGCUAAUUUGAAUACGCUAUUACGCCCAAUUACUAGAUCGCGCGUAUGCUCCGCUUUGUAAACACGUAGACCACCAAUCUGAUCUUCUAACUCAAGUUUGCAUUCAGUUUAGACUUUAGGUUAUGUUAGUCAUAACAAACUUGAAAAGACAUAUUAACAAGGAAAGAUCAUCUUAACAGUUCAUGUUACAUUUGCAGAUAUGGACCUCGGUGGUUUUCUCCACAUUAGGAAAGCUGGAAGAGCCUUUUCAACUCAGUUUUUUUGCUAACAGUGGUGUUAUGGUGAAACAGAGUUUUGUGUGUAUGUACCAACAGCUAAAAUGUAAACACGACAUUAUCAUAGUUGAGUAUAGGAAUAAUUAUCUCUUAUAUCUUAUUGCAAAAUC